UACGGGGGGAGCAAGCGUUGUUCGGAUUUACUGGGCGUAAAGCGUGCGCAGGCGGUUUUGUAAGCCAGAUGUGAAAGCCCCGGGCUUAACCUGGGAAUGGCAUUUGGGACUGCAAGGCUAGAGUGUGGCAGAGGAGACUGGAAUUCCUGGUGUAGCAGUGAAAUGCGUAGAUAUCAGGAGGAAUACCGAUGGCGAAGGCAGGUCUCUGGGUUAACACUGACGCUCAUGCACGAAAGCGUGGGGAGCAAACAGG
rnacentral:rRNA from 1 species